UCGAGUUCCCUCCUCCCUACCUCUCCCCCCUCACCUGACCAGAGAUCAGCUGGGCAGGCGAGGGAGCGGAGGAGGUCUCUUUGCUGACCGAGCGCCAUCCGAGCAAUCAGCUGUUGUGACUUUGCUCCAACCUACCUUUACCGUUUUAGCGGUUGACUCGUUAAUGGUCCGGAGUGACCUGAGUUUUACUUCAAUUUCUUGCUUUUGAAGCCUCAUGGGUUGCCUUGUGUCAUUGACACUUUUAGUACUGCCUGAUAAGUACACUAUGGCGGGCUAAGCCGCCUUGGGUGCCCUGGCCCAGUCAUCAUGAUGGUCAGCAACGUCGGUCUCCUCAGGGAGACCAUCAGGUUACUUACUAUGUAACCACCUCCAGUGCCCAGCCUCCAUGCAGGUGUACUUCUAUGUACUUACCUAAAUUCCUGCUACUUAAACCAUCAAUAAAAUUGUCAUGUACUUGUAAAUAAGUUGUCUGUUGGUUCCUAAGGAGAAUAGUUUCGGAUUUAAUUGACCAGAUUUUCUUCGCCUUAAAUUGGCGUUUCUUGCCUUGGUUGGGGACAGGUUGCUGGAAAGGCAAGUGGUUCGUAGAUUGCGUGCCACUCUUCCAGUAGCUUGUCCCCAGUAAGGUCGUUUAUUCUCUCUGCCUUGUAGGCUGCCACCAUAGAAUCUAUUCUGGUCAACGUUAACUUAGUUUACUCUAUGUGAGUUUUAUGUCUCCUUAGGUUCCAACAGCAAAAGCAACCGUAACUUUUAGUAAUGCAGUAUCUCUCUAUUUUUAAUCGACUCCGUACUAACUCUGUUUCUGAGUUCCUUAAUUACUUGUAUGUAAUUAUUUUUAGAUAUGAUCUCCACACUGGCUCCACUGUUGUUUAUUACUUCUAAUAAAUAUUAUUGAUUACACAAAA